rnacentral:rRNA from 1 species
GUACCCCGUCUUGACGGUACCUUGUUAGAAAGCACCGGCUAACUCCGUGCCAGCAGCCCGCGGUAAUACGGAGGGUGCAAGCGUUGUUCGGAAUUAUUGGGCGUAAAGGGCGUGUAGGUGGCUUGCCAAGUCUGGUGUGAAAGCCCACGGCUCAACCGUGGAACUGCAUUGGAAACUGGCAAGCUCGAGUGUUGGAGGGGGUCAGAGAAUUCCCGGUGUAGAGGUGAAAUUCGUAGAUAUCGGGAGGAAUACCAGUGGCGAAGGCGCUGACCUGGACGAAGAUUGACGCUGAGGUGCGAAAGCGCGGGGAGCAAACAGGAUUAGAUACCCUGGUAGUCCGCGCUGUAAACGAUGAGUGCUAGACGGUGGAGGUAUUGACCCCUUCGCUGCCGAAGCUAACGCGUUAAGCACUCCGCCUGGGGGAGUACGGUCGCAAGACUAAAACUCAAAGGAAUUGACGAGGG